rnacentral:rRNA from 1 species
UACGAAGGGGGCUAGCGUUGCUCGGAAUCACUGGGCGUAAAGGGCUCGUAGGCGGUCUGUCGCGUCCGGAGUGAAAACUCGGGGCUUAACCCCGAGCCUGCUUCUGAUACGGGCAGACUAGAGGUAUGCAGGGGAGAACGGAAUUCCUGGUGUAGCGGUGAAAUGCGCAGAUAUCAGGAGGAACACCGGUGGCGAAGGCGGUUCUCUGGGCAUUACCUGACGCUGAGGAGCGAAAGUGUGGGGAGCGAACAGG